UAAGCGGAGGAAAAGAAACUAACUAGGAUUCCCUUAGUAACGGCGAGUGAACCGGGAUGAGCUCAAAUUUAAAAUCUGGCGUCUUUCAGGCGUCCGAGUUGUAAUCUAUAGAGGCGUUUUCCGCGCCGGACCGCGUCCAAGUCUCUUGGAAUAGAGUAUCAAAGAGGGUGACAAUCCCGUACUUGACGCGACAACCGGUGCUCUGUGAUACGUUCUCAAUGAGUCGAGUUGUUUGGGAAUGCAGCUCUAAAUGGGUGGUAAAUUCCAUCUAAGGCUAAAUAUUGGCGAGAGACCGAUAGCGAACAAGUACCGUGAGGGAAAGAUGAAAAGCACUUUGGAAAGAGAGUUAAACAGCACGUGAAAUUGUUAAAAGGGAAACGAUUGAAGUCAGUCGUGUGAAAGGUAUUCAGCCGUCUCUGGCGGUGUAUUUGCCUUUCACGGGUCAACAUCAGUUUGAUCCGGUAGAAAAAGGCGGGAGGAAGGUGGCACCCUCCGGUGUGUUAUAGCCUCCUGUCAUAUGUGCCGGACCAGACUGAGGAACGCAGCUUGCCGCAAGGCCGGGGUUCGCCCACGUACAAGCUUAGGAUGUUGACAUAAUGGCUUUAA
rnacentral:rRNA from 1 species